CGUGUAGGUGGCUUGGAAAGUUGGAUGUGAAAGCCCGGGGCUCAACCUCGGAAUUGCAUUCAAAACUCCCUCGCUAGAGUCCCGGAGAGGAUGGCGGAAUUCCCGGUGUAGAGGUGAAAUUCGUAGAUAUCGGGAGGAACACCAGUGGCGAAGGCGGCCAUCUGGACGGUGACUGACACUGAGACGCGAAAGCGUGGGGAGCAAACAGGAUUAGAUACCCUGGUAGUCC
rnacentral:rRNA from 1 species